AAGUCGUAACAAGGUAACCGUAGGUGAACCUGCGGUUGGAUCAUUAACAAAUAAAUUUAGGCCCCCGGCUGCCCUUCAAAGGCGAUGGGGAAAACCUAAACAUUUGUGUGCACCAUAUCUGUUUUUGGCAGUUCGAGUGUCCUGAGUUUAAACAACAGACUCAGGUACCUACCUACGCAAACCCUUCGGGUGCUAAGGUUGGGCUGCCGCCCACUUUGAACUAACUUUUGUUUCAUAUUAAUGCCUGAAAUUGUUUGAUCUUCACAGAUUGAAUUUUAAAUACAACUUUUGACAACGGAUCUCUUGGCUCUC
rnacentral:misc_RNA from 1 species